GACGGACGCUGGCGGCGUGCUUAACACAUGCAAGUCGAACGGAAAGGCGCUAGCUUUCUGGGGUACUCGAGUGGCGAACGGGUGAGUAAAACGUGGGAGAUCUGCUCUGCACCCUGGGAUAAGCCUGGGAAACUGGGCCUAAAACCGGAGAUGAAGCUGCUUCACAGUGUGCGGGGGAAAGAUUUUCGGUCCCGGAUGAGCGCGCGGCCUAUUAGCUUGUUGGUGGGGUAAUUGCCUACCAAGGCGGCGACGGGUAGGCGGCCUGUGAGGGUGUAUGGCCACAUUGGGACUAAGACACGGCGCAGGCUCCUACGGGGGACAGCAGUGGGGAGUAUUGCACAAUGGGCGAAAGCCUGAUGCAGAGACGCGGCGUGGUUGAUGACGUACUUCGGGUUGUAAACACAAUUCGGCACGGACGAAGCUUUUAUGACGGUACCUGAAUAAGAAGCACCGGCUAACUACGUG
rnacentral:rRNA from 1 species